GACGUAGGGCGCGAGCGUUUGUCCGGAUUUAUUGGGCGUAAAGAGCUCGUAGGUCGGUUUGUCGCGUGCCUGACGUCGGAAUCCGGGACUCAGCUCGAUCGCGGUGGGUACGGGCAGACUAGAGUGAUGUAGGGGAGAUUGGAAUUCCUGGUGUAGCGGUGGAAUGCGCAGAUAUCAGGAGGAACACCGAUGGCGAAGGCAGAUCUCUGGGCCGUAACUGACGCUGAGGAGCGAAAGCAUGGGGAGCGAACAGG
rnacentral:rRNA from 1 species